rnacentral:rRNA from 1 species
GAUGAACGCUGACAGAAUGCUUAACACAUGCAAGUCAACUUGAACUUCGGUUUGGGUGGCGGACGGGUGAGUAACGCGUAAAGAACUUGCCUCACAGCUAGGGACAACAUUUGGAAACGAAUGCUAAUACCUGAUAUUAUGAUUAUAUGGCAUCGUAUAAUUAUGAAAGCUAUAUGCGCUGUGAGAGAGCUUUGCGUCCCAUUAGCUAGUUGGAGAGGUAACAGCUCACCAAGGCGAUGAUGGGUAGCCGGCCUGAGAGGGUGAUCGGCCACAAGAGGACUGAGACACGGCCCUUACUCCUACGGGAGGCAGCAGUGGGGAAUAUUGGACAAUGGACCGAGAGUCUGAUCCAGCAAUUCUGUGUGCACGAUGAAGUUUUUCGGAAUGUAAAGUGCUUUCAGUUGGGAAGAAAAAAAUGACGGUACCAACAGAAGAAGUGACGGCUAAAUACGUG